AUGAACAGACAUGCAGACAAUUUGACUAUGGUCCAGAAGAUUAGAGUUGAACUCUGUGUCACAGGUUUUCCCAGGAGGCUGACUGAGAAGACUGCACCUCUUUCUGGAGUUCUAUGGGGCAUUAGGAUAUUGCUCCUGGUGUUCACCUGCCACGCCAGAAGGAGUGUCAAACGUGACAUCUCUCACCUGCUGGCCCUGUCAAGGGUAUCAAACACCCUAAGAAUGCAAAAUACCACCAAGAUACUGCACUUAGGUGAGUCUUACAUGUCUUGAUUGCCAUUGUUUUGGCUGGAGCUUCUCAGCAUGGGGCAGACAUCAGAACCAGCCUUGUGCAGCUCUCUCUGGCUCAACCCUCCAGUCUUACUCCUUGGCAAGAAGACAACACAGUCAAAUCCACCUGUGGGUCUUCCUGAUCCCAGCUGGAGAAACAGGAACAUACAUCACAUGUGCAGCUCUUCUCUGGAUACAGCAUUUCCUCUUAAUAUAUAAUUAAAAUAUAUAUCUGAUUUAAUUUAAAAAAUGGGUAGCAUUAGGGCAGCAGAGAACCUUGCCACUUCACUUUCUGGUGCCUUCCUAAAGGUGACAAAAUGGAAAAUAUUUUUUGAAAAACACUAAUUGAAUUCAGCUGUGGUGUGGUUUUGUAUUGUGCUGGGUUUUUGUUUGUUUGUUUGUUUGCUUGUUUUUUUUUUCCCAAAUGUAGGAUGAAGUUCUUAUCAAAAUGAGAUUUUAGUAAGAGGAGCAAAACCUUAAAAAAAUAAUUGAACUAAAUGCCUUACCAAACAUGUAACUUUAUAGGUUCUUUCUUAAUUCAGUUUAACAACAUAUAGUCCCUUCCCUGGAAGAAAAUUCCAAGCUAAAUAGUGUUCUUGCUGAAUUUGUUCUUGAUAGAGUUAAGUAUGGGAAAUGUGCCUUGACCCCUGUUUAAUUUUAGGAGAUGCUUAAGUUUACUUGCAUAUAGACCUCAUCUGGAUGACAAUAGCUGGCAUAAAUACAUGUUGUUUCUUGUUUGAUUGAGCCAAUUAUUAAGAAUCAUUGGAAAUCUUCCUCAGAAAAACUUUCCUCCCUCGAAACAAAAACCUGCUUGUACAUAAAUAUGUAUUUAUCACUUCUUUUUCUCUUAAAAGUAAUUCAUUAGGAUUAACUGCACAGUCAGUUAAUCUCUAAAUCCAGAAAAAGGCACCAGAAUAAGUGACUAGGCAAAUUCAAAGACAGAAUAUCUAUAGUAAAAUUUCUGACUCAAGCAGAAACAUAGGCAGUGUUUAAAAGCAUGUUA
rnacentral:lncRNA from 1 species